ACGGGAGGCAGCAGUGGGGAAUAUUGCACAAUGGGGGAAACCCUGAUGCAGCGACGCCGCGUGAGCGAAGAAGUAUUUCGGUAUGUAAAGCUCUAUCAGCAGGGAAGAAAAUGACGGUACCUGACUAAGAAGCCCCGGCUAACUACGUGCCAGCAGCCGCGGUAAUACGUAGGGGGCAAGCGUUAUCCGGAUUUAUUGGGUUUAAAGGGUGCGUAGGCGGACGCGUAAGUCAGCGGUGAAAUAUCCCGGCUCAACCGGGAGGCUGCCGUUGAUACUGCGCGACUCGAGUCCGAACGGCGCCGGCGGAAUAUGUAAUGUAGCGGUGAAAUGCAUAGAUAUUACAUAGAACACCGAUCGCGAAGGCAGCUGGCGAGGACGGCACUGACGCUGAGGCACGAAGGCGUGGGGAUCAAACAGGAUUAGAUACCCUGGUA
rnacentral:rRNA from 1 species